AUAUCUGAAAAGAAGAGCAUAACUGUUGACCUUUGCAAAACCACACACAUUCGUUCUGUUCUUCUUUCUCAAAAGUUGGGUACGAAGUUGAUAAACUGUAUCAUGUUCUUAGCAUUCUGCGAGUGACGACACAGAGUCGCGUGUAUUACUGAUAAAAGUGAAAAAUGGGUACCCCAGAAGAAGAACAAGAGCUUCACAAGAAGAUACAACGGCUAGAAGUUGGUCACCUUCAUCUUAAGCAUCAAAUGUCCAAGCUCAAGCACCGUUCAGAGUUAGGUGCGACGUGUAACAAACCAUCUUAUUUGCCCUUGCAGAGAGAGAAUCGUAGUCAUGGCCAUUAUCUCAAUAUUUUGCAGUCAAUGGGUCAUUCUGUUCAUAUUUUGGAUCCUCAAUGUCGUAUCAUUUUCUGGAACCCUAGUGCUGCAAAUCUGUAUGGUUAUGCAGCAGAUGAAGUUCUUGGGCAUGAUGGGAUUGAGUUGCUUGUGGAUCCAAGGGAUUUUGCUUUAGCCAAUGAUGUAUUCAACCAUGUCAAAAUGGGAGGAAGUUGGAGGGGGAAAUUCCCUGUUAAGAAUAAGAUGGGGGAUAGGUUCUUAGCCGUGGCAACCAAUACACCUUUCUAUGAUGAUGAUGGAAGCUUGGUUGGGGUUAUAUGUGUCUCAUGUGACUCACGGCCAUUUCUUGAAACCAUAAUGCCCUUUUCAGGUGUUAAGAAUGAAGAGGCGGAUUCGGGUUCUAACCGGCUUAAGAGUAGCAUUACGGAUAAACUUGGCCUUGACUCUCAGCAGCCACUUCAAGUUGCUCUGGCAUCCAAAAUUUCAAAUUUGGCGUCAAAAGUGAGUAACAAAGUUAAGUCUAGAAUCCGGACUAGGGAAAAUAAUGUUGACAGUGAAGGUGGGAGUGGAGAAAGUCAUCAUUCUGAGCAUAGUUUCUCGGACUGCAUUCUUUCUGACCAGAGAGAGGAUGGUAAUUCCAGUGGAGCUAGCACACCGAGAGAAGAGGUGCUACAAUCUCCGUUUGGUCAUGCUGAAGAAAAAUCCCAAGGAAGAACUAUGAGAGACUCAGGUGAUCGGAGUGAAGGAAAACCUAUUCACAAGAUGAUAACUUCUAGAGCUGAAACAUGGAUUCAAAAGAAAGCAUUGUCAUGGCCAUGGAGAGCAAAUGAUCGGGAAGGAUCUGAUGCAAGGAAUGUUCAUGUUGCUUGGCCUUGGUUGCCAGGUGAUCAAGAAAAUGAGUCAAUUAAUCAGAAGAAUAUUUCUUCUGGGUUGAAGCCAGACAGCCAGACAGGCAAAACUAAUCAGCCUGUUAAUAAUGAGGCUUUAGGAUCCUGGUCAUCCUUUAAUGUUAACAGCACAAGUAGUAACAGCAGCUGUGGGAGUGGCAGCAGUUCUGCCGCCAAUAAUAAAGUGGAUGUUGACUCUGAUUGCUUGGAUUAUGAAAUUUUGUGGGAGGACCUGACAAUUGGAGAACCAAUUGGGCAAGGUUCUUGUGGAAUUGUAUAUCAUGCUCUGUGGUAUGGAUCGGAUGUUGCUGUCAAGGUAUUCUCAAAGCAAGAGUAUUCAGAUGAUGUGCUACUGUCCUUCAGACAAGAGGUAUCUAUGAUGAAAAGACUUCGUCAUCCAAAUGUUAUUCUCUUUAUGGGGGCUGUAACUUCACCUCAACGUCUAUGCAUUGUAACAGAAUUUCUCCCACGAGGAAGCUUGUUUCGUUUGCUUCAGAGAAACACAUCCAAAUUAGAGUGGAGAAGGCGGGUUCAUAUGGCCUUAGAUAUUAAAGGGUCUCUAUCAUUGUCAUUGAAGCAAUGGUGUAUGCUUACUCUUUCUAUAGGCACGAGGUGUAAAUUAUCUCCAUCAUUGCAACCCCCCUAUCAUCCAUCGAGAUUUAAAGUCUUCAAAUAUUCUUGUUGACAAGAAUUGGACUGUGAAGGUUGGUGAUUUUGGUCUUUCGCGUCUUAAGCAUGAAACAUAUCUCAGUACUAGGACAGGAAAGGGCACGCCUCAAUGGAUGGCACCAGAGGUUCUUCGUAAUGAACUGUCAGAUGAGAAGUCUGAUGUUUACAGCUUUGGGGUGAUAUUGUGGGAACUUGCAACUGAAAAGAUCCCGUGGGAUAGUCUCAACCCAAUGCAGUUUCUCUAGGAUUCUUGCAGGUUAUUGGAGCUGUUGGAUUUAUGAACCAUCGGCUGGAAAUUCCAGAAGAUGUUGAUCCACAGUGGGCUUCUAUAAUUGAGAGCUGCUGGCAAAGCAUUCUGGCAAUGCUGGUAAGAUUUAAGCUAGUGCACUAAAGAGCUGCAUGAGGCACGGCUCUUACCUGAUGGGAUUGGGGAAGGUAGAUGCAUUCAGCCUUAACUCCCCAAAUAGAGAGGGUGUUUCCAUGAUUUGUGACCUCCAAGUCAUAAGGCAGCAACUAUUUCAUUGUACCAUGUCUCGCCCUCAGAUUUAGCUAUGCAAUAUUUUAGAAAAAAAGAAUAGUUGUUAGAAUUAAUGGAGAUAGUUUGUAUAGAAUGACUACAUAUCAAGUAUCUUGUUAAAAAUCAGACACACACGGGCAAAACAAUCUUUUGGUGGAGAGUACUGCUGUGAUCCAACUUGCCGACCAACUAUCCAGGAACUGCUGGAAAGACUAAGAGAAAUGCAGAGACAGUGUGUAAUUCAAUUUCAGGCAGCUCGAUCUGCUGUUGAGGAAGGCACUCAAAAGGAGUUCUAGCCAGUAGCCACAAUCUUUGAGAUUGUUUUUGUCCCAGUGACUGGUGCAUAUGGUAUUUUUUGCUUGCAUAAUACAAAACAUUCCUGAUGAGUAUAUAUGUUGCUAGAAAUAGCAUGUCUGGAGUCCUGCAGCAUUACUGGUUCAUAAACAUUUGCCCAGGUAUCUUCAUAUAAGUGGGGAGUGGUUACCAAACGAUUUUAGUCUAUUGAUAUUUUAGUGGCACCAUAGAAGUUCUUAAAUUAUUUGUGAUGCUGUUUGUUUGGAGUCUUGUGAAUAGGUUUCCAUCGUCAUCUUUGUAAUUUUUAUGGAAAAUGUUUGUAUAAAAAGAUAGGGUGAUAAAAAAAGAAGCCUACGAAAGAACUUUCAUUUUACUAUCAUAGAAUGGAAUCGGAAACUUCCAAUUCUUCUUACUGUGAUAGUUGUGGUUGGAUCUCUAUCGUUAUCCACUUUAAGCAACAAACAAGGCAACAGCUUAACACGUUGGACUUGUACUUUUUAGUUCCAUUUUCAUUAUUUAUUAUCCACAAUAACUCCAAAGCAUGUAGUUUGUAAAUUUCCAUUGCAGCUCCAUUGUCUGUGCCAUUUUUCAGAAAU